rnacentral:lncRNA from 1 species
UCUCCGCCGCUGUCCGCCUCUCCGCCGCGCCGCCGCUGUCCGCCUCUCCGCCGCUGUCCGCCUCUCCGCCGCUGUCCGCCUCUCCGCCACGCCGGCGCUGUGUGCCUUUGCGAGGGCGGAGCUGAGUUCUCCUUUGCACAGACUUCGGAGAUACAGCGAAGGCAGAGCAAUGUUCUCCUCAGCACAGACCCGGGCGGGCGGGCCGGUGGCACCGCGAGGGCGGAGCUGCGUUCUGCUCUGCACAGACCUUGGGGGCACUGCCUCGCUUUGGGACACCUCGGGGCCGCAUCGACGGUGAAUAAAAUCCUUCCUGUUUGCAGCCCUGUUUGUGGUUGGUGGCAGCGAUGGACACUGCAGCCAGCCAGAGCGUAGAAAGGCGUUGGGUGAAAGAAGAUGGCCAUGGAGACAGACAGCAGCAUGGUCAGAGUGGUAGGAGCCGGCCAUCAGCGAGAGCUGCUCCAUGCCUGGCUGCUGGAUGCUAGAGCCUGCGGCCCACUGGCUUGCCUCACUGUGGUUGCUGGUGGUGGUGACAGAGACUGCAGCAUGAACAGAGUGGCUUUUCUGGCUUUGCCUGCCCAGCUGCUCCGUGCCAGGAGGAGGAGGAGACACCUUGAGCCUGCGACACCACGGCUUGCCUCGCUGCGGGUGGGUGGCAGUGACGGAGAUUGCAGUGCGCCAGAGCGGUAGGAGAGCGGCCGCACUAGGAGGGCAGAUGAAAUGAUAAGAUGACUUGAGAUGAGAUGAAAUGACGAAAUGAUGAGAUGAGAUGAGAUGAUGAGAUGAAAUUUUGAGAUGAAAUGGUGAGUAGAAACGAUGAGAUGAAAUGAUGAGACGAAAUGACAAAAUUGAAAAGAAAUUGAAAGGAGAUGAGAUGAGAUGAAAUGAGAUGAAAUGAUGAGAUGAUGGAUGAAAUGAUGAGAUGAAACGAGAUGAAAUGAUGAGAUGAAAUGAAAUAAUGAAAUGAUAUGAAAUAAUGAAAUUGAAAUGAGAUGAGAUGAGAUGAAAUAAUGAGAUAAAAUGAUGAGAUGAAAUGAGAUGAAUGAUGAGAUGAAAUGAUGAGAUGAAAUGAGAUGAAAAAUGAGAUGAAAUGAAAUAAUGAAAUGAGAUGAAAUGAAAUGAAAUAAUGAAAGGAAAUUAUGAAAUGUAAUGAUGAAAUUGAAAUGAAAUUGAAAUGAGUUGAAAUGAUGAGAUGUAAUGAUGAAAUGAAAUGAUGAGAUGAGAUGAAAUGAGAUGCAAUAAUGAGAUGAAAUGCGAUAACGAGAUGAGAUGAGAUGAAAUCAUGAGAUGAAAUGAUGAAAUGAAAUGAUGGAUGAAAUGAUGAGAUGAAAUGUAAUGAGAUGAAAUGACAAAUGAAAUAAUGAAAUGAGAUGAAAUGAAAUAAUGAAAUGAUGAGAUGAGAAGAAAUGAUGAGAUGAAAUGAUGAAAUGAUGAGAUGAGAUAAAAUGAGAUGAAAUGAUGAGAUGAAAUGAUGAGAUGAAAUGAAAUGAUGAGAUGAGAUGAAAUAUGAGAUGAAAUGACAUAAUGAAAUGAAAUGAUGAAAUGGAAUAAUGAAAUGGAAAUGAUGAGAUGAGAUGCAAUGAGUUGAAAUGAGAUGAAAUGAUGAAAUGAUGAGAUGAAACGAUGAGAUGUGAUGAAAUGAUGACAUGAAAUGAUGACAUAAAAUGAGAUGAAAUGAGAUGUAAUGAUGAAAUGAGAUGAGAUGAAAUGAGAUGAAAUGAUGAGAUGAGAUAAAAUGAUGAUAUGAAAUGAGAUGAGUGAUGAGAUGAAAUGAUGAGAUGAGAUGAUGAGAUGAAAUGAUGAGAUGAACUGAUGAGAUGAAAUGAAAUGAAAUAAUGAAAUUGAAAUAAAAUUGAAAUGAGAUGAAAUGAUAAGAUGAGAUGAUGAAAUAAAAUGAUGAAAUGAUGAGAUGAAAUGAUGAGAUGAGAUGACAUGAAAUAAUGAAAUGAAAUAAUGACAUGAAAUUGAAAUGAGAUGAGAAGAUAUGAGAUGAGAUGAAAUGAUGAAAUGAUAAGAUGAAAAGAGUUGAUGAGAUGAUGAGAUAAAAUGAUGAGAUGAAAGAUGAGAUGAAAUGAUGAGAUGAAAGAUGAGAUGAAAUGAUGAGAUGAAAUGGGAUGAAAUGAAAUUAGACGAAAUGUAAUGAGAUGAAAUGAAAUGACAUAAAUGAAAAAAUGAAAUGAAAUAAUGAAAUGAGGUGAAAUUAAAUGAGAUGAUGAAAUUAAAUGAUGAAAUGAAAUGAUGAAAUGGAAAUGAUGAGAUGAAAUGCCGAGAUGAAUGAUGGAUUUGAAAUGAUGAGAUGCAAUGAUGAGAUGAAAUCAUGAAAUCAUGAGAUGAGAUGAGAUGUAAUGAUGAGAGGAAAUGAUGAGAUGUAAUGAAAUCCCCCGCACUGCAUCCGAUGAAAUGAAAUAAUGCAAGGAAAUUGAAUUGACCCUAUCACCCGGAAUGAGCUAAAAUGAGAUGAAAUAAGAAAUGAUGUUUUGUUUUGUUGACAUGCUGAGGUGAGAUGAGAUGAGAUGAGACGAAAGAUGAGAUGAGAUGAGACGAAACGAUGAGAUGAAAUGAAAGGAAGAGAUGAAAGGCCGAGAUGAAAUGAUGAGAUGAGGUGAGAUGAAAUGAGAUGAAACAAGAUGAAAUGAUGAAAUGAUGAGAUGAGAAGAAAUGAGAUGAAAUGAGAUGAGAUAAAAUGAUGAGAUGAAAUGAAGUGAAAUGAAAUGAAAUAAUGAAAUGAAAUUGAAAUGAGAUGAGAUGAAAUGAGAUAAAAUGAUGAGAUGAAAUGAUGAGAAGAAAUGAGAUGAAAUGAUGAAAUGAUGAGAUGAGAUGAUGAGAUGAAAAAUGAUGAGAUGAAAUGGUGAGAUGAAAUGAAAUGAAAUAAUGAAAUGAGAUGAAAUGAAAAGAAAUGAUGAUAUUGAAAUGAAAUUGAAAGAUGAGAUGAAAUGAAAUGUUGAAAUGAAAUGAUGAAAUGAGAUGUGACAUGAAAUGAUGAGCUGAAAUGAUGAGAUGAAAUGAAGUGAAAUGAGAUUAGAUGAUGAGAUGAAAAAUGAUGAGAUGAAAAAUGAGAUGAAAUGAUGAAUUGAGAUGAGAUGAGAUGAAAUAAUGAAAUUAGGUGAAAUAAUGAAAUGAGAUGAAAUAAUGAAAUGAAAUUGAAAUGAGAUGAGAAGAAAUGAGAUGAAAUGUUGAAAGGAGGAAAUGAUGAGAUGAGGAGAUGAAAUGAUGAGAUGAAAUGAAUUGAGAUGAAAUGAUGAGAUGAAAAAUGAUAUGAAAAAUGAUAUAAAAAAUAUGAGAUGAAAUGAAAUGAGAUGAUAUGAAAUGACAUAAUGAAAUAAAUGAAAUUAGAUGAAAUGAAAUGAAAUAGUGAAAUGAAAUGAUGAAAUGAAAUAAUGAAAAUGAAAUGGAAAUGAGAUGAGAUGAGAUUUGAUGAAAUGAGAUGAUAUGAAAUGAUGGGAUGAGAUGAGAUGAGAUGAAAUGAUGAGAUAAAAUGAUGAGAUGAAAUGAUGAGAUAAAAUGAUGAGAUGAAAUGAUGAGGUGAAGUGAUGCACUGUCACGUGUGUGUCUAUUCUUUUUCCCAACCAACAAAAAUUAUAAAUCAUUAAUUUUUUAUUAUUUAAGAAUAUUCUUAAGAGUUGAAGGAAAAAUAAUAUCUGUACAUUAUGGGUUACAAUGUAAGUAUAAAUAAUACAUAAAUAUAUUAAAACUUACAAAGAAUAUGUUUUGGAAUCGAAUAUACCAUGCUUCUGUGAUGACAGUUAUUUCAUGCUGGUUGUCACAAUUUUACAUGAAAAACUAAUGAAAAAAUGUUUUUAACUGUUUCUAAAAAUAACAGUUUCCAAAACAGUUUUACAUUCGAAAUAUGAAAAAGAUGUCUUUGUGUUCCUUAAUCUGAUGAGAUUUUCACACUCUGCACAUGAUAAUUGUUAGAUUUUUAUUGUGUUGAUAAAUUGUAUAUCAAAAAAUGUUAUUACCUCUUAAAUUAGGAUUUUUAGGUGAUAUAGGCAGAAAGGAAGGCAAGUUUUUAUAACUUUGUCUAAAUGAACUUUGUAAAUGCCUGAGUAUUAAAAGAUAGCAUGUCUAUAAAUCACAAUGUAUAUAUUACUGUAUGACCUAGGACCAAUCAAAACCAUUACCUCUGAUAACAUUAUAUUGUGCCCAGUAUAAAAUAGAUAUAAUAAUACCUCAAACUUAAAUCCAGGCAUUGUCAUUGAAUAUCUUAAGAAUAUGCAGCAAAGGUGCUUUUAAAAAUACAAGCUAGUGAUUGUACUAAAUUUGUAAAUCACAUAGGAUAGUGGGUCAUUUUAAGAAUAUUAUUUCAAUCUAUAAACGUGGAUGUCUUUCCUUUUUUGUGUUUUCUUUAAUUUCUUUCAUUAGUAUUUGUCAUUUUUGUUGUCGAAAUCUUUUACUUCCUUGGUUAAAUUUAUUUCUAAGUACAUUUUUGUAGCUAUUGUAAAAGGAAUUGCUUUCUUAAUUUCUUGUUUCAGCUAGUUUACUAUCAAUAUAUAGAAAUGCUACUGAUUUUUGUAUGUUGAUUUAUAUCCUGCAACUUUAUUAAUUUCAUGUAUCACCCUAAGAAGCUUUUGGUAGAGUCUUAUUUUUUUCCGUGUAUAAGAUCACAUUGUCUUUAAACAGGGACAGUUUGACUGUCUCCUUUCCAAUUCAGAUGUCCUUUAUUUCUUUCUCUCACCUAAUUGUCCUGGCUAAGACUUUCACUAUGUGAAAUAUGAUUGGUGAGAAUAGGCAUCCUUUUCCUGUUCCAGUAAAAUCUUUUUCUUGUUCACAGUAAAAUCUUUCACGUUUUCCACACUCAGUAUGAUCUUAGCUGUAGAUUUGUCCUUUAUGUCCUUCUGUGUUAAGGCAUAUAUUUUCUAUACUAAAUUGUUGAGAGGUUUUUUGUCAUGUAAGAAUAUUUAAUUUUGCCAAACGCUUUUAUUGUGUUUAUUAAUUUAAUCAUAUGGUUUUCAGUAUAUAUCCAAAGGAAAGAAAAUCAGUAUAUCAAAGAGUUACCUGCACCCCCAUGUUUAUUACAGUACUAUUCACAAUAGCCAAGAUAUGGAAUCAACAAAAGUGUCCAUCAACAGAUGAAUGGAUAAAGAAAUGUGACAUACAUAUAUAAUGGAAUAUUAUUUAGUCAUAAUAAAGAACAAAAUCCUGUUAUUUGUGGCAACAAGAAUGCAAGUGGAGGGCAUUAUGUUAGGUGAAAUAAGCCUGGCAUAGAAACAUAAACACCACAUAACUACGUGUUCUCACUUAUGUAUGGAAGCUAAAAUUUUUAAUCCCGUAGAAGUAGAUAGUAGAGUUUUGGUUACCAUAUCCUGGAAAGAGUAGGAGAAAGAAGAGUAUAAGAAAAAUGUGGUUAAUACAUACAAAAUUACAGCUGGAGAGAAGGAAGAAGUUCUAGUUCUCUACAGCACUGUUGGGUGACUGUAGUUAAUGGGAAUUUAUUGUGUGUUUUCAAAUAACUAAAAUAAAAGAUUUUGAAUAUUCUCACUGCAAAGAAAUAAUACAUGAUUUAGGUAAUGGAUAUGAUAAUGACUCUGACUUGAUCUUUACACAUCGUAUAAAUAUAUCAAAAUAUCACUCUGUACCCCAUAACAUGUACAUUUAUUAUAUGUCAAUUAAAGUAAAUUUAAGGGGGAGGAGCCAAGAUGGCCAAAUAGGAACAGCUCCAGUCUACAGCUCCCAGCGUGAGCGACACAGAAGACGGUGAUUUCUGCAUUUCCAUCUGAGGUACCGGGUUCAUCUCACUAGGGAGUGCCAGACAGUGGGCACAGGUCAGUGGGUGCGCGCACCGUGCGCGAGCCAAAGCAGGGCGAGGAAUUGCCUCACUUGGGAAGCGCAAGGGGUCAGGGAGUUCCCUUUCCGAGUCAAAGAAAGGGGUGAUGGACGGCACCUGGAAAAUCGGGUAACUCCCACCCGAAUACUGCGCUUUUCCGAUGGACUUAAAAAACGGCGCACCACGA